GCCUGGCUGGCUCAGUUGGUAGAGCAUGCAACUCUUGAUCUCAAGGUCAUGAGUUUGAGCCCCAUGUUGGGUG
rnacentral:tRNA from 1 species